AUUUCCUUCGGGAUUGAUUAUUUUGUGACUGAGUGGCGGACGGGUGAGUAACGCGUGGGUAACCUGCCUUGUACAGGGGGAUAACAGUUGGAAACGGCUGCUAAUACCGCAUAAGCGCACGGCAUCGCAUGAUGCAGUGUGAAAAACUCCGGUGGUAUAAGAUGGACCCGCGUUGGAUUAGCUAGUUGGUGAGGUAACGGCCCACCAAGGCGACGAUCAGUAGCCGGGCUGAGAGGCCGAUCGGCCACAUUGGAACUGAGACACGGUCCAAACUCC
rnacentral:rRNA from 1 species